rnacentral:lncRNA from 1 species
CUCAAACAAUCCUGUGAUUCUUGUAGAUAGAUGCUCAAGAACUGUCCAGAGGAACAAUUCCAAAACAAACCAGGAGGCAGAGGGCACUGUAGGGUAGAGGAGCUCAAGAGUACAGGGCACUUCUGUGAACAAAGUGCAGCGAUGUACAGCCAGUUGUGUGCUCCUCAGAGCUGUCCUGUUCUCCCAUGUCCUUCUGAUAAAGGUGGGAUGUAGUGGGCUAUGAUCCUGAGGGACUGUGCUUUCCCUGAAGCUGGCUGUCAAUGAGAGGUGCCAAAACAGGAAGUAAUGAAAGUGUACUCAUCCUAUCUCACAUGUGAGGCAGAGGAGUGUACAGCAGCAGGAGAUGAUGAUCCUAGUUCAGCUGGAGUGCAGUCACAUGCCAAGUCUGUCUUUCCUCAUGGUGCUCUCGAGGAUGAUCAUCUUCCAGAGACCACAGCAGGACUGAGUGUCUACUCAAGGAUGAGCAUGCGUUUAAGUGCUAUACCAAAGAGUGAUGCUUUCUUGAAUUAG